AACGAACGCUGGCGGCGGGCUUAACACAUGCAAGUCGAACGGAAAGGCCCCAUUGGGGGUACCUGACUGGCGAACGGUUGCGUAACACGUGGGUAACCUUCCCUUGACUUUGGGUUAACUGCAGGAAACUGGGGCUACUACCGGUUAGGAGCCCCUCCUGCAUCGGGGGGGUUGGAAAGUUCCGGCGGCCGGGGCUGGACUCGCGGCUCAUCGUCGUGUUGGUGGGGUAGUGGCUUACCAAGGCUUUGACGGGUAGCCGGCCUGAGAGGGUGACCGGCCACAUUGGGACUGAGGUACGGCCCAGACGCCAACGGGAGGCAGCAGUGGGGAAUAUUGCACAAUGGGCGGAAGCCUGAGGCAGCGACGCCGCGGGCGGGAUGACGGCCUGCGGGUUGUAAACCGCUUUCGCCUGUGACGAAGCGUGAGUGACGGUAAUGGGUAAAGAAGCACCGGCUAACUACGUG
rnacentral:rRNA from 1 species